UACGGAAGGCAGCAGGGGGAAUAUUGCACAAUGGGCGCAAGCCUGAUGCAGCCAUGCCGCGUGUAUGAAAAAGGCCUUCGGGUUGUAAAGUACUUUCAGUCGUGAGGAAGGUGUUAAGGUUAAUAACCUUAGCAAUUGACGUUAGCGACAGAAGAAGCACCGGCUAACUCCGUGCCAGCAGCCGCGGUAAUACGGAGGGUGCGAGCGUUAAUCGGAAUUACUGGGCGUAAAGGGCACGCAGGCGGUUAAUUAAGUUGGAUGUGAAAUCCCCGGGCUUAACCUGGGAAUGGCAUUCAAGACUGGUUAGCUAGAGUCUUGUAGAGGGGGUAGAAUUCCAUGUGUAGCGGUGAAAUGCGUAGAGAUGUGGAGGAAUACCGGUGGCGAAGGCGGCCCCUGGACAAAGACUGACGCUCAUGUGCGAAAGCGUGGGGAGCGAAACAGGGAUUAGGAUACC
rnacentral:rRNA from 1 species